AGCUUUGCACAGUGGGCAAUAUCAUAGCCAAUGAGGUUUACCCGAGGCUCAAUUAUUGCUAAUUGAAAACUUUCCCCAAUACCCUGCCAUGACGACUUGAAGUAGAGUCGGCACUGGCAAUUUUUGACGGUCUCCACGGAGA